rnacentral:ncRNA from 2 species
UAUUUCACAAAGGAGUGCUUCCGCUGAGAUCGCAUUUGCGAAAUCCUAAAUACCUGAUCUUGUUAAUACAAGCGUAGGGAUUGUGAUCUUGAUAUUC